rnacentral:rRNA from 1 species
UGCCUACGGGAGGCAGCAGUGGGGAAUAUUGCACAAUGGGGGGAACCCUGAUGCAGCGACGCCGCGUGGGCGAUGGAGUAUUUCGGUAUGUAAAGCCCUAUCGGCAGGGAAGAAGCUGACAGUACCUGACUAAGAAGCCCCGGCUAACUACGUGCCAGCCGCCGCGGUAAUACGUAGGGGGCAAGCGUUAUCCGGAUUUACUGGGUGUAAAGGGAGCGUAGACGGUAUGGCAAGUCUGAAGUGAAAGGCCCGGGCUCAACCUGGGUAUUGCUUUGGAAACUGUUAA